GAAGGUAUAGCUCAGUGGUAAAGCACAUGCUUAGCAUGCAUGAAGUCCUGGGUUCAAUCCCCAGUAACCUCA
rnacentral:tRNA from 1 species